rnacentral:rRNA from 1 species
UACGUAGGGGGCAAGCGUUGUCCGGAUUUAUUGGGCGUAAAGAGCGUGUAGGCGGUCAGGUAGGUCCGUUGUGAAAACUCGAGGCUCAACCUCGAGACGCCGAUGGAAACCAUCUGACUAGAGUCCGGAAGAGGAGAGUGGAAUUCCUGGUGUAGCGGUGAAAUGCGCAGAUAUCAGGAGGAACACCAAUAGCGAAGGCAGCUCGCUGGGACGUUACUGACACUGAGGCGCGAAAGCGUGGGGAGCGAACAGG